UCAUAACACUGAUUAAGACGCAGAAAUUACUGGGGAAUUUGUCAAGUCUCGCUUCUAUACGACACAUUCUGUAAGUGUCAGUAUGAGUGCCGAUACUAAAGUGGUUGUAUAUUCUCUACAUUCACGCUCUGAAUGAGUCUAGAGUGGGAAAAUGAGUAAGGACUGAGCGGGUAUAUACUGAAGGUGAGCCAUUGUCUACCGGUGGGGGGUAUUCCUAGCAAGAACAGGGUAUUCAUCUCAGUGGAGCAUAUGGCAGACGCUCAGGACAGUCAGGUGAAAUGUUACAGGCUUUGUCUAGACUGGCUAACAGCCACAAACAGCUUACUCAGCACUUGUAACCUGCAAACUGCAGCAAUGGAAAUGAGUGAAAUGAGCACCGAUAGAGCGGGUAGGCUCGGAUACCUGGCAUUAUUAAUGUGGAAUACCGAUUGAAAAUAACGGAUGCAGAUGUGUUGUAAGACGUGGAAGCGACAAAUUCCAACGUUUGUUUUGUUCGUCAGCUUUAAGCGUGGUGUCGAAUGAACAAUGAGAUUUUAGACAGUUCAGACAGACCGACAGAAAUACUUCAACACCACUGAAGGACAGCCUGAGAUUUAACGUAGAUCUGAAUCGAUGCCUCUGAGGCACAGUCCAAACAAACAAAACAAAAAACUGUACAUCUUGAGCUUUUUGAGCAAUGCUGGCACUUCGGCAAACUGCCAGUUUUUUUUUUGUUGUUUUCAACACCGACACACAGAAACAAAGUGGUGUACCAGAGUAAGAUCUGCAACCUGAAGUUUGAGUUUCCAUUCUCUGAGAUAACAAAACACACACAGUAUCUUCAGGACUGGAUUCACUAACUCACAGAGCUCUCUCAUUCAUUACAUGACUGACACCAGCAGCUACAAAACAACUGAAAAGCUCUACUAUCGGGUCAAGCGUACAAAAAUAUAUUGCGACCAUCCUCAGGUUGAACAUAAACAGCAGCUUCACCCUCCAAAGAAAGAUCAGACGUGUGAAUGAACUGCUUUUUUAAGGGUUAUAGGUUGUAUAAUAGUUUCUAUAAAUCAAGGAGUUGUAUUAUUAUGCUGUGCAUCUACGUCUACGUAAUGUGCGUGAGACGUUGCAAAGUGAUUUCAAGGCAAAUAUCACACCGCAAAAAACGAUGCUAGCUCGGUUUUAAUAAAUCCAAAUCACAUGUAUGUAUCAGAACAGUAUGAUUAGUAAGAUUAUGUGUAUUGCCGAUUGACAAAAUGUAAAGAUUCAGUUCAACCUGACGUGUUCUAUGGGCGACGGCGAUAGAGAUGCGGGAAAGAAAAAUAAGUCGAUCACCACACCUCUGAUGUUUUAUCUGAACACAUCACUGUCACACAAACAAGACACUCGACUCCUCACAGGCAUGCACACACACACACACACACACGUGUGCGCGCGCACACACACACAGAUUGUGAGGGCGGAUGAGAGUGAGUCACUCUCCCUUCUGGCCAUGAAAAAAAAAAAAAAGAAGAAGCAAUCUGUAGCAGAGAGUCUGGGCUUUAACAAAUUUGCUUUAAAUACAUAGCACUUCGUAUUUUUUUAAACAUUUCCGCGCUCAUUAACUGACUGAUUGCUUGAUCACUGAUUGCACUCUAUUAAUAGAAAUCUCUGGUCAUGAGGGAAACGCAGGUAAAGCACAUGCGUGACAAGCGUACUGUCACAUUAGUAGUUAGUAGUAGUUGCCAUCUGUCCAAGAGAGUACUGUUAUUAGUCGCAGUCAGGACGUAAAAGCAAUGCUUGGUACAGCUCAGUGUAGAAUCUACAGUCCAACCCACCAUUUUACCAACACGUAAGGGCAGAGAGAGAGGGAAAAAAAAGAUACAGACAGAGAAAAAGACCAGCUCUGGAUCUGGCUGAUGCAAUCUAAUGGAACAUCAUCCUAUGAGGGGCUGAUGUCUAAGACUGUCCACACUGAGCCUGCUACAUUUGAAAAGGCUUUUUUUUUUUUCCUCUCCAAAAGUUCUGGCCUUUCAUCUGCACCAAGAAUGUUUUUCACACCCAUCUAGGUUUUUUUUUUUUUUUUUUUAAAGCCGAGCCAAGCCGAGCCGAGAGAAAUCUCAAAAUGCCAGUCUUGUAGCGUGGACGUGAAAACAAAUGCCCGACAAAUGAAAUGAUGGAAAAUAUCUUUUCAGACAUAGCAGGGCGCUGUGUAACAGUUAACACGGAGAAAUCAACUUUUCCGUUGCCUCCAGCUUUUUUGUGAUCUCUCCUUUUCGUUGCUGACAAAGGCAAUCGCACAACACAGAUGUUCUCAUUAACCUACAUUUCUUCCCGUCGUUUUUUUUUUUUUUUCAGUCAAACUUUGGGAGCAAAGGGAAAGAAAAUAAAAACAGCGGUUGAAUCAAAGUGCUGCGGCACAUGAGCGUACUGAAGAAAACCCAAAACCAGCAGUGAAUUUACCCCGAUCACAAGUCUGACACGGCCUCUGCCUCACACCACAGAACGUCAACAUCAUCUAGAAACUUUAAAAACAAACGCGAGAACUAUACAGACCACUACGUGUCCUGGACACACAGAUUUGUUGGUUUCACAAGCAGAGUGAAAUUAACUACGCUUUCUCUGGAUGGAUUUGGGAUGUUGUUUUGCAUCCAUUUUGUAAUGGCAGCAGACCAAAUUUCCCUUGCAAGGCAGAGAUGGGAACGUGAUUACAGACUGGAUGCAGGUAAUGAGCGAGGAAGUUCUGCUUUUCAGCGGUGUCAUGGUGAGAAUCAGGUGCACAACAACAGAGGAAGACAGAAAUAAAUGAAACAUCUGGACGUGGGAAACACUGAAGCUGCACUGAAGUUAGCACUUCGAGGAAGUGAAUAAUAAAGGCAUCCUGUUUUAAUGGGCAAAUAAAACAGUCUGUUUUAAUGAACACUGAGUGUGUAGGUAGACAUGGCUCUCAGGCUAAGACAGUGAAAACAAGGGACAAUGUACAAGGAUGAGACAGGGAUUUGACAUUAACAAGCGGCAGAACAGGAGCGAUGAAGACCGAGGCUCAUUGUCUAUGAUUUCUGAGAUGCAAGUGCAUUCAAAGCGGAGGAGCAAGCCACCGAAUAAAUUUGGUAUACAUUGUGUGUUGGUUUCCCCAACAACACAACAUCUAAAUAUAACCCUCCACAACUGGAGCAAAUGUUGAAUAAUGAGGCGUGGGAGGUUCUGGAAAAGGAGGACCUCGCCAGGAAUAUUUGGUCAACAAAUAUAAACAAAAUAAUCCACAUUAAAGAUGAAAUGUAUCACAAAACAUCAGUGUGUACCCCUCGCUUAUUGCUUUUAUAUUUUUUGAAAUUGUACAAGUAAAUCUCAGCUGUGUUAGGAAGACCGGGAUAUCCAGAAUCCAGAAUAGAUGGAUGAUUGAAGUCUAUGAACCAUAUUAAUAUGACUGGUUCCUCUUGGUCUCCGGAACUACUGGUACAUCAACAUACAACCCCAGUUACACAACCAAGGGCACAGAGGGCUUCUUCUCAAAAAAUGCAAUUUUUGCAUUUCUGCCUUCUCCGAGGCCAAGUCAAACAGGAGAGGUGGUGUCAGAGCUGGCAGUCACUGUACAACACAGACGCUGUGGGAGCCUGGCAGGCAUCGGUGCGGCGGAAACAAAUGAAAUUCAUCGGAAAAUCCUGCAGCAGUACCUCACACGCACACACCCCUCUGAUUCUUCAUUCUACAGCUACGGAAAAGGUCGUCCACUGACCUCCCAUGUGCCAUGUGGGGAAAGCUGUCAUCAUCAUCUGUUACUGUUAGAACGGAGACUAUUCACACUCACAGUUGUGCUUGGGUUCGUGAAUGAAAGCAUGCUUGCUUCCCUGAAAGCAUGUUUAAUUACCUGCCUCCACUUUAAAACUUGCUUCAAUGCACCGACUGUCUUCAGUCGAAUAAAGUCAAACAAGACUUUUGCUUGAAUUCAGUAUAAAACUCUUGAAAAGACAGCAUUUAAUAGAGCAAGGAGAA